CUCCGCCUACGGGAGGCAGCAGUAGGGAAUCUUCCACAAUGGACGAAAGUCUGAUGGAGCAACGCCGCGUGAGUGAAGAAGGGUUUCGGCUCGUAAAGCUCUGUUGGUAGUGAAGAAAGAUAGAGGUAGUAACUGGCCUUUAUUUGACGGUAAUUACUUAGAAAGUCACGGCUAACUACGUGCCAGCAGCCGCGGUAAUACGUAGGUGGCAAGCGUUUUCCGGAUUUAUUGGGCGUAAAGCGAGUGCAGGCGGUUCAAUAAGUCUUGU
rnacentral:rRNA from 1 species